AUGUAUGGCAAGCCUGUCCGCCGCAUCGGCGACGGCUAUGUUGAUAACGUUACACCAGAAACCGUGAAGGAGGACAUACUCCUCCUGCUCGAUGACAUCCAUGGCUUCUACAAGGCGGCGCUCGAUCGGUUGCCUGUAAAGAGGAUGCCCGCGCUGGCUCCCUGCCUUCUCAAGGCCGGCGUGGGCUUCGGCUUCCUCGACCCAGUCUCCAAUAUCAUCCUCAACACCAUCGCCUACUUGCAGCGGUUGCCCAGCACCGAGAGUCAACAAGGGGCUACUAGAAAUAGAAAGUCGAUCUUCUCCAAGAUCUCCACUGACACUCGGGAUCGCAGAAUUUUCCGGAUACUGCUGCCCAGACACAUGGCGAACGCCAUGACCAUCGCGCGGCUGUCGCUGGAAGGUCUGGUCAGCUUCCUCCUGUUCCACUUCCGCUACCUCGCGGAGACGGAAGCCCUGCGCUACCUGCGCCUGGCCAGGGCCGACCUUCUCGCCGCCGUGCAUCUCAUCGACCAAGAUCGUAACAAGUCGUGCUCAGCGUCUAGCAUUGCCAAGAUUCACAACAAGCCCGUGUUCGACAUUACAUCUCCAACCUCCAAGAUUGCCCUGGAGUGUGCCGCUACCUCUGCAAGGCACCCUGAACCGGCCAUCCUGGUGAACGCGUCGCUAUCGGCGGUAUCUCGGCUGAGCAAGGUCUCUAACCUUUUGCAGGUGCAUCGCCUGCCCCCUCGAACUAUAAGGCGCCUGGAGCUGUUGCUCAGGCGAGAGCCUAAAGUCAUGGAUCAAAUGGCCAUAAGGCGUCCGCUGAAUCUUGCUGGGUCACGUCUCCGUGAUGGAAAGGAGGUGAAGAGGGAUCUUGCUGGAUCUAUGGUGAGCGUUGCACAUGGGAAGGUAGAGAUCGAUGUGACUGUGACAUUUAGAUACACAGAGUCUCUUAAGCUGUUGCUUCUCGACAAGAUCCACAUGCUCUAUCUAGAGGCACUUUCUAAGCUGCCUAGGGAUAGCUUGCGCAAACAGCACCAUUGCAACCUUCUCAGGGCUGGUUAUUGCUAUGGUCUCAUGGAACCUGUCUCCAACAUUUUAUGGCCUCAAACCAUUUCGCGGAAUCUGGGGGCAUGGAAGCAGCUGUUAAUUCAUGGCACCCUCACCCUAAAGCACUGGAGAAAUUCAUCCUGUCAGCCCUGA
rnacentral:rRNA from 1 species